GACGAACGUUGGCGGCACGCUUAACACAUGCAAGUCGAACGAGAGAAGAGAAGCUUGCUUUUCUGAUCUAGUGGCGGACGGGUGAGUAACACGUGAGCAAUCUGCCUUUCAGAGGGGGAUACCGAUUGGAAACGAUCGUUAAUACCGCAUAACAUAAUUGAACCGCAUGAUUUGAUUAUCAAAGAUUUAUCGCUGAAAGAUGAGCUCGCGUCUGAUUAGCUAGUUGGUAAGGUAACGGCUUACCAAGGCGACGAUCAGUAGCCGGACUGAGAGGUUGAUCGGCCACAUUGGGACUGAGACACGGCCCAGACUCCUACGGGAGGCAGCAGUGGGGAAUAUUGCACAAUGGAGGAAACUCUGAUGCAGCGAUGCCGCGUGAGGGAAGAAGGUUUUAGGAUUGUAAACCUCUGUCUUUGGGGACGAAAAAUGACGGUACCCAAGGAGGAAGCUCCGGCUAACUACGUGCCAGCAGCCGCGGUACUACGUAGGGAGCGAGCGUUGUCCGGAAUUACUGGGUGUAAAGGGAGCGUAGGCGGGAUCGCAAGUCAGAUGUGAAAACUAUGGGCUUAACCCAUAAACUGCAUUUGAAACUGUGGUUCUUGAGUGAAGUAGAGGUAAGCGGAAUUCCUAGUGUAGCGGUGAAAUGCGUAGAUAUUAGGAGGAACAUCAGUGGCGAAGGCGGCUUACUGGGCUUUAACUGACGCUGAGGCUCGAAAGCGUGGGGAGCAAACAGGAUUAGAUACCCUGGUAGUCCACGCCGUAAACGAUGAUUACUAGGUGUGGGGGGACUGACCCCUUCCGUGCCGCAGCAAACGCAAUAAGUAAUCCACCUGGGGAGUACGACCGCAAGGUUGAGACUCAAAGGAAUUGACGGGGGCCCGCACAAGCAGUGGAGUAUGUGGAUUAAUUCGAAGCAACGCGAAGAACCUUACCAAGUCUUGACAUCGUAUGCAUAGCUCAGAGAUGAGUGAAAUCUCUUCGGAGACAUAUAGACAGGUGGUGCAUGGUUGUCGUCAGCUCGUGUCGUGAGAUGUUGGGUUAAGUCCCGCAACGAGCGCAACCCUUACUGUUAGUUGCUACGCAAGAGCACUCUAGCAGGACUGCCGUUGACAAAACGGAGGAAGGUGGGGAUGACGUCAAAUCAUCAUGCCCCUUAUGACCUGGGCCUCACACGUACUACAAUGGCUGUCAACAGAGGGAAGCAAAGCCGCGAGGUGGAGCAAACCCCUAAAAGCAGUCUUAGUUCGGAUUGUAGGCUGCAACCCGCCUACAUGAAGUCGGAAUUGCUAGUAAUCGCAGAUCAGCAUGCUGCGGUGAAUACGUUCCCGGGCCU
rnacentral:rRNA from 1 species